rnacentral:ncRNA from 1 species
GUAAAAACUGAGAAGGGGAAAAGUAUAUAAAAAUUAGUCUUAGAAGAGAGUGGGAAUAGGUGAAAGCCCAUAGACGAGGUUUUAUUGAAUAUCACCCCGGAGUUGCAAGCUGAAACAAAGUAAGCUGAGCCGGCAUUGUCGUUAAAAGUAUGAGUAAAAAAUUGAGUGGUACCGCGAGUAUAAGACUUUUCGCCUCAUGG